AUAUUGGUCAAGGGAGGCAACGCUGAACCAGCCAAGUCGCUUGAAGGAUGACUGCCCUACGGGUUGUAACCUUCUGCAUUGAGGGAAUAAAGUGAGCCACGAGUGGAUUUUUGUAUGUACCUUACGAAUAAGGAUCGGCGAACUCCGCGCCAGCAGCCGCGGUAAUACGGAGGAUCCGAGCGUUAUCCGGAUUUAUUGGGUUUAAAGGGUGCGCAGGCGGAAUAUUAAGUCGGAGGUGAAAGUUUGCAGCUUAACUGUAAAAUUGCCGUUGAAACUGGCUUUCUUGAGUAUAUAUGAAGUAGGCGGAAUUUGUAGUGUAGCGGUGAAAUGCAUAGAUAUUACAAGGAACUCCGAUGGCGAAGGCAACUUACUAAAAUACAACUGACGCUCAGGCACGAAGGCGUGGGUAUCAAACA
rnacentral:rRNA from 1 species